rnacentral:rRNA from 1 species
CCUGAUCCAGCAAUGCCGCGUGAGUGAAGAAGGCCUUCGGGUUGUAAAGCUCUUUUGUCAGGGAAGAAACGGUAGUAGNNAAUACCUAUUACUAAUGACGGUACCUGAAGAAUAAGCACCGGCUAACUACGUGCCAGCAGCCGCGGUAAUACGUAGGGUGCAAGCGUUAAUCGGAAUUACUGGGCGUAAAGCGUGCGCAGGCGGUUGUGUAAGUCAGAUGUGAAAUCCCCGGGCUCAACCUGGGAAUUGCAUUUGAGACUGCACGGCUAGAGUGUGUCAGAGGGGGGUAGAAUUCCACGUGUAGCAGUGAAAUGCGUAGAUAUGUGGAGGAAUACCGAUGGCGAAGGCAGCCCCCUGGGAUAACACUGACGCUCAUGCACGAAAGCGUGGGGAGCAAACAGGAUUAGAUACCCUGGUAGUCCACGCCCUAAACGAUGUCUACUAGUUGUCGGGUCUUAAUUGACUUGGUAACGCAGCUAACGCGUGAAGUA